ACUUAUUUAAUAUAUUUAGUAUAUUUAACUUCCAAUUAAAAAGUUUGACUUCACCAAAAUAAGUA
rnacentral:tRNA from 1 species